UAUAUACGUUAAUAACUGUAUAAACUGAUAACAAGUGUCUAUAUGACAAUAUAACUCACUGUAUAUAUAAAUGUAUAUAUGAACUUAUCAAUGCAUAAGGGUGCAUAUGCGUGCGCAUAUUAGGGCAUAUAUAACUGAUAGUAAGUAUAUAUACAUUAAUGUACAAGACCAUAUAUAUACUUAUAACCAGCUUGUAUAGUUUUUAACGUACAUGCAUACUGAUUUACAUACAACACACACACACAUAUAUAUACUAUAUACAUAUAUGUGUUGUGUAUGGACUGAUGUGUGUAUAUAUAAGAUAGGUUUAUGCUUGUAUGCAUACACUUGUUUGAUAUACAUUGUAUAUACACACUAAUAUGUGUACAUAGAUGCACCCUUACGCAUUGAUAAAUGUAUAUAUACUGUAUAUGUCUGUAUCUAUACACUAACACAUGCAUUCUAUAUGUACUGAUAUAUAUCACUAUGUAGAUACUUAUUAGCAAUUUACAAUAUAUAUACAAUGUUUAUAUAUACGAUAUGCAUAUACUGAUAUGUUUACGUACCUUGAUAUGGGAACACACAUGCACUCUUAUGUAUUGAAAAAUUCAUACGUAUAUUUCUAUAUACACUGAUAUAUAUGACUAUAUAGACACUUUUUAUCAGUUUAUACAGUUAUUAAAGUAUAUGUACACUCACUUAUUAUCAGUUUAUACAGUUAUUAAAGUAUAUGUACACUGAUAUGUAUAUACGCACACUCAAAUAUGUAUAAUGUGUUUACAUAUAUACUAAUAUAUAAGACCAUGUGCAUACUUAUUAUCAGUGAUAGAUACAGUUAUUAAAACAAUUUAUGUAUAUAAUGAUGUAUAACAAUAUAUACCAUAGUUUUAAGUGUAUACCAUAGUUUUAAGUGUAUAUAUAUAUAUUACUUAUAUAUUUAUUAGUGUGUAAAAAAUACAUUGAUAUGUGUAUGUGAUGUUUGUAUAUAUACGAUGUGUAUAUACUGAUAUGUGUGUAUGUGUAAAGUUUAUAACUGCAUAUAUACAGUGCACUAAUAUAUAUUUCUAUAUCCAUUGAUGUAACAUGAUCAUAUAACUACGUAUUAUCAAUUUAUACAGUUACUAGCGUACAUGUAUACUGCUUUAUAUACUACACAUACACGCACAUACAUAUAUGUUUAUAUAUAAAAACUAUACAUAUAUGCGUGUUGUGUAUAGACUAUUGUGCGUAUAUAUACGAUAUGAAUAUACUGAUAUGUUUAUACGUGUAAGCAUAAACUUGCUUGUUAUCAGUUAUAUACACUAAUCAAUGUUAUAUACACUGAUAUGUGCUGACACAUGCACGCUUACGAGUUGAUAAGUGCAUAUAUAACGUGUAUCUGUACAUUAAUAUCAUGUAUUCUAUAUACACUGAUAUAUAUAACCAUAGAGAAACUAAUUAACAAUUUCUAUAUAUAUAUAUAUACAGUGUGUAAUAUCUAAGAUAUAUAUAUACUGAUAUAUUUAUGUGUGUAUGUACAUACCAGCUAUUUCUUAUUAUAAAUGAUCUUAUACAUUAGUGUACAUAUAAACCAUUUAUAUAUAUGCAUAUGAGUGUGUAUACAAACAUAUCAACGCACAUACGUUAAUAACAGUAUAAACUGAUAAUGGUGUAUAUAGAAAUGUAUGUCAACGCCAUCAAUGUGUAAGGGUGUAGGUGCAUACACAUAUCAACGUAUAUAUAACUGCGAGCAAUUUUAUACAUAUA
rnacentral:lncRNA from 1 species